rnacentral:rRNA from 1 species
GACGAACGCUGGCGGCGUGCUUAACACAUGCAAGUCGAGCGGUAAGGCCCUUUCGGGGGUACACGAGCGGCGAACGGGUGAGUAACACGUGGGUGACCUGCCCUCAGCUCUGGGAUAAGCCUGGGAAACUGGGUCUAAUACCGGAUAUGACUCCAUGACGCAUGUUGUGGGGUGGAAAGCCUUGUGCGGCUGAGGAUGGGCCCGCGGCCUAUCAGCUUGUUGGUGGGGUGANGGCCUACCAAGGCGACGACGGGUAGCCGGCCUGAGAGGGCGACCGGCCACACUGGGACUGAGACACGGCCCAGACUCCUACGGGAGGCAGCAGCGGGGAAUCUUGCGCAAUGGGCGAAAGCCUGACGCAGCGACGCCGCGUGAGGGAUGACGGCCU